AUUUCACCAUGCACUAGGAUAUAUGACAGUAACACAUCCAAAUGUUCCACAGAAUCCAGCUCUUGGGAAAUGAUGCAGUGCCUCACUUGCUGCACCGAGACAGAAAAUAUUUCUUGAGGAUUGAAAACAUUAAAAGAAGUUAUGUUGGACUACACACAGAUACACGUGCAUACAAAGACAUCGCUAGCUAUUAAUUACCAUCUUUUGAAGACAUCCUUGUCUACUUGAAGGUCUUCCUUAAACCUUGGAGCUUUUGACACAUAAAGAAUCCAGAGUUAUCUAUGCUGCUUUGAGAUAUCCUUAAAACAUCGGCCCCUGUACUUGCUCAGGUACAAGAUAAUCAAAACAGAGUAACUUAAAAAGGUCAGCUUGAUCUGGUGGGCUAGAGGAGUUGGCUACAGAUCAGAUUGUAAGACUCUUGCUACUAUGCAUUAAGGCAAUCACAUGGCAUAUACAGCAACAAAAUUAGAUUAGCUGAAAUUACCUCUGCCCUACACAGGGACUUAUACUGAUGGGCAAAGAAUGGUAUAAAAAAUGACAAAAGAAUGAGGUGUCAGCAGAAACAGCUGACCUGAACAAAGGGUUGCUCAUGGGGUUGCUCAUGAACCCCAGACUGAUAGCUGGGAAACCAGCAUAGGACUGAUCGAGACCCCCUGAAUGUGGAUGCCACUUUGGAGGUCUGGUUAAUCUAUGGGGCCUCUAGUAGUGGAUCAGUAUUUAUCCUUAGUACAAGAAUGGACUUUGGGAGCCCACUCCACAUAGAGGUAUACCCUUUCAGCCUAGACACACAGGGGAGUGUCUAGGCCUUGCUCCAAAUGAUAUGACAGACUUUGAAGAUCCC
rnacentral:lncRNA from 1 species